rnacentral:rRNA from 1 species
CCUACGUGAGGCAGCAGUGGGGAAUAUUGCACAAUGGGGGAAACCCUGAUGCAGCGACGCCGCGUGAGUGAAGAAGUAAUUCGUUAUGUAAAGCUCUAUCAGCAGGGAAGAAAAUGAUGGUACCUGAGUAAGAAGCCCCGGCUAACUACGUGCCAGCAGCCGCGGUAAUACGUAGGGGGCAAGCGUUAUCCGGAUUUACUGGGUGUAAAGGGAGCGUAGACGGCAGUGCAAGUCUGGAGUGAAAGGCGGGGGCUCAACCCCCGGACUGCUCUGGAAACUGUACGGCUGGAGUGCAGGAGAGGUAAGUGGAAUUCCUGGUGUAGCGGUGAAAUGCGUAGAUAUUAGGAGGAACACCAGUGGCGAAGGCGGCUUACUGGACUGUAACUGACGUUGAGGCUCGAAAGCGUGGGGAGCAAACAGGAUUAGAUACCCCUGUAGUC